rnacentral:rRNA from 1 species
AUAAACGCUGGCGGCGUGCUUCAGGCAUGCAAGUCGAACGGUUCACAGGCUUCGGUCUGUGGAUAGUGGCGGACGGGUGAGUAACACGUAAGCAACCUGCCCAGAAGUGGGGAAUAACUGACCGAAAGGUUAGCUAAUACCGCAUGUGAUGGCACUUCCCUGGAGGUGUCAUUAAAGGCUUCGGCCGCUUCUGGAGGGGCUUGCGGUCGAUUAGCUAGUUGGUGGGGUAAUGGCCUACCAAGGCUACGAUCGAUAGCUGGUCUGAGAGGACGGACAGCCACACGGGGACUGAGAUACGGCCCCGACUCCUACGGGAGGCAGCAGCUAGGAAUCUUGGGAAUGGGCGAAAGCCUGACCCAGCAACGCCGCGUGGGCGAUGAAGGCCUUCGGGUCGUAAAGCCCUUUUGUGAGGGAAGAUGAUGACGGUACCUCACGAAUAAGCCACGGCUAACUACGU